GCCUACGGCCAUACCACCCUGAAAGCGCCUGAUCUCGUCUGAUCUCGGAAGCUAAGCAGGGACGGGCUUGGUUAAUACCUGGAUGGGAGACCGCCUGGGAAUACCAGGUGUUGUAGGCU
ensembl:rRNA 5S_rRNA 5S ribosomal RNA